GGAGAGGUACCGAAGCGGUGUUUUUUUUAAAUAAUAUAAAUCGGUUGAGGGCAUUACGCCCUACGUGGGUUCGAAUCCCACCCUCUCCGCCA
rnacentral:tRNA from 1 species